CGAAUGUUUACAUUUGAGAGCGGUUAGUGGCGUACUGGUGAGUAACACGUAAGCAACCUGCCUAUUAGAGGGGAAUAACAGUGAGAAAUCAUUGCUAAUACCGCAUAUACUGUAAGUAUCGCAUGAUGCAAACAGGAAAGGAGCAAUCCGCUAAUAGAUGGGCUUGCGUCUGAUUAGAUAGUUGGUGGGGUAAUGGCCUACCAAGUCGACGAUCAGUAGCCGGACUGAGAGGUUGAACGGCCACAUUGGGACUGAGAUACGGCCCAGACUCCUACGGGAGGCAGCAGUCGGGAAUAUUGCACAAUGGAGGAAACUCUGAUGCAGUGACGCCGCGUGCAGGAAGAAGGUUUUCGGAUUGUAAACUGCUUUAGACAGGGAAGAAACAAGACAGUACCUGUAGAAUAAGCUCCGGCUAACUACGUGCCAGCAGCCGCGGUAAUACGUAGGGAGCAAGCGUUAUCCGGAUUUAUUGGGUGUAAAGGGUGCGUAGACGGGAAUUUAAGUUAGUUGUGAAAUCCCUCGGCUUAACUGAGGAACUGCAACUAAAACUGAAUUUCUUGAGUGCGGGAGAGGAAAGUGGAAUUCCUAGUGUAGCGGUGAAAUGCGUAGAUAUUAGGAGGAACACCAGUGGCGAAGGCGACUUUCUGGGCCGUAACUGACGUUGAGGCACGAAAGUGUGGGGAGCAAACAGGAUUAGAUACCCUGGUAGUCCACACUGNUAACGAUGGAUACUAGGUGUAGGGAAUGUUAAGUUUNCUGUGCCGU
rnacentral:rRNA from 1 species